CCUACGGGAGGCAGCAGUGAGGAAUAUUGGUCAAUGGGUGCAAGCCUGAACCAGCCAUCCCGCGUGAAGGACGACUGCCCUAUGGGUUGUAAACUUCUUUUGUAUAGGGAUAAACCUACUCUCGUGAGGGUAGCUGAAGGUACUAUACGAAUAAGCACCGGCUAACUCCGUGCCAGCAGCCGCGGUAAU
rnacentral:rRNA from 1 species